rnacentral:misc_RNA from 1 species
AGCAGCCGCGGUAAUUCCAGCUCCAAUAGCGUAUAUUAAAGUUGUUGCAGUUAAAAAGCUCGUAGUUGAAUUUCGGGAUUGACGUGAUGGUCGUGCCUUACGGGGUAUGAACUGUUGCAGUCAAUUUCUCACCUUCUGGAGAAAUAUGAUGUCCUUAAAUUGGGUGUCAUAUGGAACCAGAACUUUUACCUUGAAAAAAUUAGAGUGUUUAAAGCAGGCUUAUUGCUCGAAUACAUUAGCAUGGAAUAAUAAAAUAGGACGGCAUGGUUCUAUUUUGUUGGUUUCUAGGAUCACCGUAAUGAUUAAUAGGGAUAGUUGGGGGCAUUAGUAUUCAAUUGUCAGAGGUGAAAUUCUUGGAUUUAUUGAAGACUAACUACUGCGAAAGCAUUUGCCAAGGAUGUUUUCAUUAAUCAAGAACGAAAGUUAGGGGAUCGAAGACGAUCAGAUACCGUCGUAGUCUUAACCAUAAACUAUGCCGACUAGGAAUCAGACGAUGUUAAUUUUUUAAUGACUCGUUUGG